rnacentral:rRNA from 1 species
UACGUAGGGUGCAAGCGUUGUCCGGAAUUAUUGGGCGUAAAGAGCUCGUAGGCGGUUCGUCGCGUCGGCUGUGAAACCCUGAGGCUCAACCUCAGGCCUGCAGUCGAUACGGGCGGACUUGAGUUCGGUAGGGGAGACUGGAAUUCCUGGUGUAGCGGUGAAAUGCGCAGAUAUCAGGAGGAACACCGGUGGCGAAGGCGGGUCUCUGGGCCGAAACUGACGCUGAGGAGCGAAAGCGUGGGGAGCGAACAGG